rnacentral:rRNA from 1 species
GUCUACAGCCAUGCCACCCUGAACAAGCCCAAUCCCAUCUGAUCUCGGAAGUUAAGCAGGAUCGGGCCUGGAUAGUACUUGGAUGGGACGCCACCUAGGAACACCAGGUGCUGUAGGUG